GGAGAAACUACAGUCAGCGCUGGAUCCAUGUCGAGCCUUGAUUGGAGAGGUCAAGUUCAGCGACAAGAAGAAGUUCUCCAAGUAUACCUUUCAGUUAAAACAGGGGAAACUUGUGUGUUUCAAAGAUUCAAAGGGUACACAUCAGCUGCACUCCUGGAAUGUAGAAGACAUUGUCAUCUAUCUGGGCAUCGACAGUCGCAGAUCAGGAGGAAAGUGAGUGGUUUUGGGCAGAUUAG